CUAACCCACCAGCUGAGACUGCUAAGAGCACGCACAGACCCAACCAUAGGAAAGGAGGACGUCUUUCUAACACUUCUCAUACUAGCUACAAACUAUUUAUAUACUUUUAGCUCAGAAAUCUGCCACGUUGGGAAGCAAACCAACUGAAGUAAGAGGAUGGCCACCCAAGCAGCAAUGAGCACAGAAUCUAAUCAAUGCUCCAGUUUGAGGGGAAAAAAAAUAUCCUAAAUCAACACAGGAUUGUAUACAGAGAGUAGGAGCUGUGUCUAGUCUGUUGCAGAGCCUCAAGGACACUUUGGUAGGGAAGAAAUCAUAGGACCACAUGGAAUAACUCCUGAGUAACAGACAUCUGACGACUUCCGGAAGAAUAAUAAACUAAACAUCUAGCUGGUAUUGGGGCAAUCAGCAGUGAUCAAUCCAGUGCCUAAUAGACCCAUAGGCUGAUCAGGCGCCAGUAACAAGGCACAGUGAUUAUGGGGGCAUUGCAGAUAAGAUUCAUACCCCUUUCACACAGAGGUUUUUACCCAGUAAUUUGCCAGGUCUCUCGGGUUGUUUUCUGUGUAAAAGGGGCAGCCCGGGUCAAAAAUCCUGGGACUACGACCCUGGUUUUUACCUGGCUUGUACCUUUCACAUAGGAGAAAUACCUGGGUUUAUCGGCAGAUUACCAGGUAGAACUGCUUCACCAAGUAAACUGCUUUUCUGUGUGAAAGGGGGGUCUGGCUGCAUUGUCAGUCUACUCCAUGCUGAACAUGGGCAUUACCCUGAACCAGCAGCUCCGGGAUCUGAAGGUAAAUGACACAUGAUGGACUAAUGACACAUAGUGUGGGGCAAGGGUGGAGCAAGUGUUCCAAGCACCAAUGAAAGCUCUGAGAAUUGAGUGUGGAGUUUGAUAAAAAAAAGGAUGUGGAUGUGCAUCGUCUCUGCAUCUCAAUGUACCCAUCUCGCGUACCCAUAUCUGCAGUGCUUCUGUAUCACAGUUUUCCCAUCUCUGCAGUAUUACUGUAUACGCAUCAUUGCAUUGUCUGUGUAUCCUUAUCCUAGCAGUGCCUCGUUAUCUCAGUGCAGCCAGUCCUUGUAGAGUUUCUGUAUCCCACCUCUGCUGUGCAUUGUAUGGCAGUCACAAGGAUGUGUUUUGUUUUGUUUUUUUGCAAAUCAGUCAACAGGAUGCUCUUGGUAUUUGCAUAGCAAGUCGCUAAGGUGGUCUCUUUAUUGUAGGGAGUUCCCUAGAAUGCUCUGUGUGAUAUAUGGCGUUCACCAAAAUGCUCUCUUUGUGUGCCAGUAUCUGAAAAGCACUCAGUAUUUUAUAACUGUUACUGGAUGCUUCUCUGCAUUGUACAUCAGUCUCUGGAAUGCUCUCUGUAUUGUAUAUCAGUCUCUGGAAUCAUCUCUGUAUGGCAUAUUGUUUUCUGAGAUGCUAACUGUAUUUAAACAAUGAGUAUGAUAUGCGCAUAUUAGCCUAGUUACCCUUAAUCUUACCAAGAGCAAGACAGAUAUAUAUUUAAUAUUGCAGUACCUCACAACACUGACAAGGGGUCUCCAAAGUGAAUAAAAGAGAGGCAAUUUAACCAUGCCCAUAGGAAGGGUCUCUACUGUAAGGGAACUUUAAGUGAGGAGUUCCUGACUACGUGAGGUGGUUGUGGGAAAGUCACAAAAAAAACUUAAACAUGGAUUAGAGGUUCUUCUUACAAGAAAUGGUAAAUGUUUCUAUAAUUAAUAGACAAAUAAAGUUUAUUUUUACAUGGAAUUUAUCAGUGCCAAGUAUGGGAUUAAGAAGAAAUAUGGUAAAUUGGCCACUGUUUUUUUUUUUUUCCUUUUUUUUGAAACAGCGCAAUGAGAAUGUGAAACACUCACUUGUCUAUCCUGUAAAAAUCUGUGGUGAGUAAUAUAGUAAAUAUAAACCGGUUUUUACAAUAACUUCAGAACAAUGGGAAACUGGACUGUUAUUAAUGGGAUAAACACUUAUUUAAAAUAAGCAAUUUCCUUACCCCUUUAGAGAUCUAGCAAUUAUGAUCAGACAAUUAGGUCCUGUACUACAUUUUCUUUUAUUCUA